rnacentral:tRNA from 1 species
CCGCGGCGCGGCUCGCGGGUGAGGGCUCGCUGCUCGCGCUGGUGACGAACGGGCCGAGGCUGCGGAUCGGCCCGAUCCACCGGGUGCUGCGCG